UACGAAGGGGGCUAGCGUUGUUCGGAAUCACUGGGCAUAAAGCGCACGUAGGCGGUGCCGUAAGUCGGAUGUGAAAUCCCUCGGCCUAACCGAGGAACUGCGUCCGAUACUGCGGUGCUUGAGGAUCAGAGGGGUGCAUGGAAUUUCCAGUAGAGCGGUGAAAUGCGUUGAUAUCGGAAGGAACUCCGACGGCGAAAACAAUGCACUGGCUGAUUUCUGACGCUGAGGUACGAAAGCCAGGGGAGCAAACGGG
rnacentral:rRNA from 1 species